CAAGAGUUUCAUCCGGUGUAACAAAGUCUCCACCCAUGACAAUAUUAUCUGUUGGGUCCAAUCUCUUAAAAUCAUGGAUUAAGGAAGAAAAGUCAUUGAAAAGCUGUUGAUUUUCUUUUGCAUUAUUGUGUCCAUAAACAUUAACCAAAAUAAAAAAGAUGGAUUCAUUACUGGAAACAACUGCAAUCCAAUGUCCACUGAAGUCAGUUUUGACAGAGAUCAUUUUCCCUGGACAAUUGUUAAAUACAGUUGCAGUCCCUGCAGAAUGGGAGGAUCCAUGGUUUAGUAACAUGGUUUUAUCUCCCCACUGACUCCACCAAAACACAGCAUCAUCCCCAGUAGAGAAAAAAAAAAACUACUUUUACAAAAUAAAAACAUUGCUUUUCUUUUGACUUUGUUUUGAAUGCCCCGAACAUUUAGAGAGAGUAAUGAAAACGGUAACUUAACUGGAAACAUAAGAGAACGUAUAAAAUGAAACAAAGAACAAGCGCUGGUUGCGCACUCGAAUCAGGUUUGUACUAAAAACAGCUAACCUAGUACAUACCCCGUAACUUAGCCUUAUCUCCAAAUCAUCACAUCUCACUCCAUCCUACCCGUAAAAAGUUCAGGUGCUGGAUUUUGAUGUGUCAGUGCGCCUUCCUUCAAUAUAACCAAAUGGACGUCAGUAGUACGCCUUUUUCCUUCUUUACGCGCUUGAGCGAUAAGAGGCCACAGUACAGCACGGGCGUUUCUGUCCUUCUUCCUAAAGUCUUCCACAAAUCUGAUUCCGUGGUUCUGGCAGACCGGUGAAUUUUUCGUUGACUUCCAUAUUUCGUCCCUGUAUUUACGCAUUGUGAAUUGCACCAUCAUCUGUCUUGGUUUCCCUGACUCCUUCUUACCAAUCCGGUGCACUGUGUCAAUAAUAUCAUCUAAUUUCUGCAUCAAGUGCGGUGCAAUUUCGGCAAUCAGGUCAAUCACUUCUCUGUGAGGAUCUUCUUCAGACCUCUCCUUCAUUCCAUUGAUCCGGAGAUUCCAUCUUCUCUUAUAUAUCGUUCAAGUUCUGAUGUUCUGCUGUCCAGGGCGUUGUGUGCAGCAGUUAGACCCUGGACCGAUUUUCUCAGCUUUAGGCAAUUUUCUGUACAGACUUUGAUUUCAGCUUAGAUUUCUUCUAACUUUUCAUCUUGUGAAUCAGAGCCAACAGUCAGAGAAGUAAUGGCUUGCAGCAGAGUAGCAUUGGUGAUGACCUCUACUUGAGAUUUUGACUUUUUCGACAUGUGUGCUUUAGUGGGUGUAAGGUGAGAGGAACCACGGCAUUUCUGUAGUGCAUCAGACUCUAUCUCCAUCUCUGACACUGAAGUUGGAGCCACGCGUUGAUCCGGAGGAAUAACAAUCUUGGGAUGAGUUGUCUGCAUGAACCCUGACCCUCUUAGUGUGUGGAAACUCGCACAAUCCACAGAGGAUCAACAUUCAUCAUCAAAGACAAUCAAGUGGAAAUAGCUGCUUCUACCACCAUCACUUCUGUACUCAGUGAUGGCAAGACAACCUACUGGUGGUCAAACCCUGGACAUGAAGCCAGAUUUGAUGCUGCUUUCCUGGACCUACCAGAGGAGGUGGAGAGCAGCAAGAGUGGCCCUUUGUCCUCCUUCACCAUCAGUGACCGGUGAAGAAGAGGACAGUUUUUCAAGACCCGGGUUUUUGACUCUCCAGGACCAAAUUAAAAAUGUGUGGAAGGUGAGAAUGACCCGGUCACAGGUUCCUGUCCGGGAUAUAUCUGUUCUGUGUGGUCACUGCAUUCUAGAUGUCUCCUUGUGAAGGGAUGAGGCUGGGGCAGAGCUCCAUGAAGGGUACAAGGUGGAGCUUACCCACCUUCACACCUCCAUCCAGCCUAAUGAGAAGGACAAAUCCAAUUCCUCCACUCACACCACUGUCAGGGUAAACAAUAUAAUGCUAACACACACGAGUUGUUUCUCUAGACAAGUCUUCUACAUCUCCUGAUGCUCUCAGUGCCUUUAGAAAGACUACCCUGUGAAAAGCUUCUAAUUAAAGUGGAACAAUUUAAAUCUACUCCAAUUAUGUACUGGUGGUUGGAGAUAUAUUUAACUCUGUUCUAAUAACAUGUUGGGUCACUGUAAAAGUUUUUACUGUAAAUUUGACUGUUUAAUAAAAUAAUCCCAGAAUGCAAUGUCUCUACAGUAUGAUGCUGUAUUACUGAUGAAGCAGACUGA